CAAAAUUUGAUUCUAGUUUUUUUAUUAUUUUCAAGAACAAAUAAAUACAUGCAUAAAAAUUAAAAUAUUAUAAGCAGUAUGCGACUCUAGAUAUGUAAAAAAUAUGAUCUGGUGAUUCUUGAUAAAGCCAGCAAAAUUCGUGCCUGCAGCUGCGGUUAUACGAUAGACUUAAAAUAAUAAAACAAGGAUAAAUUUAUGGUGAAUUAAAAAAUAUUAGCAGUCUAAUGCAAUAAAAUCUAAGUAUCAAACUCACCAAUAUAAAUAUAAAAUCUUUACCUAAAACAAGGAUUAGAUACCCUUUUAUUAAAGACAUAUAAAUAUUCCGAUAAAUACUAUCAAAUGAUAAAAAUUCAAAGAAUUUGGCGGUGUCUUAUAUACUCAGGGGAACCUGUUGCUUAAUUCGAUAAUCCACGAAAUUCAAUCCUUUUUUAGAAUAUUCAGCUUGUGUACUGCUGUCGUCAGUAAACCUUUAAAAGUUAGUUUACAGAUAUAAAAUAAAUUAUUAACGUCAAGUCAAAGUGCAGCCUAUAAAAAUGGAGCAAAAUGGGUUACAACCUUUAAAAAAGAUUACGAAUUCUAAAAUUAUAAUAUAGAUGAAGGUGGACUUGAUAGUAAUAUUUAAAUAAUACUAAUAUAAACAAUUAAUCUAAGACAUGCACACAUCGCCCGUCGCUCUCACCCAAAAUGAGAUAAGUCGUAACAAAGUAGUUAUAAUGGAAAUUGUAACUA
rnacentral:ncRNA from 1 species